AACGAACGCUGGCGGCAGGCUUAACACAUGCAAGUCGAACGCCCCGCAAGGGGAGUGGCAGACGGGUGAGUAACGCGUGGGAAUCUACCCAGUUCUACGGAACAACUGAGGGAAACUUCAGCUAAUACCGUAUACGCCCUACGGGGGAAAGAUUUAUCGGAACUGGAUGAGCCCGCGUUGGAUUAGCUAGUUGGUGAGGUAACGGCUCACCAAGGCGACGAUCCAUAGCUGGUCUGAGAGGAUGAUCAGCCACACUGGGACUGAGACACGGCCCAGACUCCUACGGGAGGCAGCAGUGGGGAAUAUUGGACAAUGGGCGCAAGCCUGAUCCAGCCAUGCCGCGUGAGUGAUGAAGGCCUUAGGGUUGUAAAGCUCUUUCAGUGGGGACGAUAAUGACGGUACCCACAGAAGAAGCCCCGGCUAACUUCGUGCCAGCCGCCGCCGUAAGAC
rnacentral:rRNA from 1 species